rnacentral:rRNA from 1 species
ACGCUAGCUACAGGCUUAACACAUGCAAGUCGAGGGGAAACGGCAUUAAGUGCUUGCACUUUUUGGACGUCGACCGGCGCACGGGUGAGUAACGCGUAUCCAACCUUCCCAUGACUAAGGGAUAACCUGCCGAAAGGCAGACUAAUACCUUAUGGUCUUCACUGACGGCAUCAGAUGUGAAGUAAAGAUUUAUCGGUCAUGGAUGGGGAUGCGUCUGAUUAGCUUGUUGGCGGGGUAACGGCCCACCAAGGCAACGAUCAGUAGGGGUUCUGAGAGGAAGGUCCCCCACAUUGGAACUGAGACACGGUCCAAACUCCUACGGGAGGCAGCAGUGAGGAAUAUUGGUCAAUGGGCGAGAGCCUGAACCAGCCAAGUAGCGUGCAGGAUGACGGCCCUAUGGGUUGUAAACUGCUUUUGUAUGGGGAUAAAGUCAGUCACGUGUGAUUGUUUGCAGGUACCAUACGAAUAAGGACCGGCUAAUUCCGUGCCAGCAGCCGCGGUAAUACGGAAGGUCCGGGCGUUAUCCGGAUUUAUUGGGUUUAAAGGGAGCGUAGGCUGGAGAUUAAGUGUGUUGUGAAAUGUAGACGCUCAACGUCUGACUUGCAGCGCAUACUGGUUUCCUUGAGUACGCACAACGUUGGCGGAAUUCGUCGUGUAGCGGUGAAAUGCUUAGAUAUGACGAAGAACUCCGAUUGCGAAGGCAGCUGACGGGAGCGCAACUGACGCUGAAGCUCGAAGGUGCGGGUAUCGAACAGGAUUAGAUACCCUGGUAGUCCGCACAGUAAACGAUGGAUGCCCGCUGUUGGUACCUGGUAUCAGCGGCUAAGCGAAAGCAUUAAGCAUCCCACCUGGGGAGUACGCCGGCAACGGUGAAACUCAAAGGGAAUUGACGGGGGCCCGCACAAGCGGAGGAACAUGUGGUUUAA